rnacentral:rRNA from 1 species
GGACUACUGGGGUAUCUAAUCCUGUUCGCUCCCCACGCUCUCGCGCCUCAGCGUCAGUAUCAAGCCAGGUGGCUGCCUUCGCCAUCGACGUUCCUUCCGAUCUCUACGCAUUUCACCGCUACACCGGAAAUUCCGCCACCCUCUCUUGUACUCCAGUCAUAUCGUUUGCGAUGCGCUUCCUAGGUUAAGCCCAGGGCUUUCACAUCACACCUAUAUCACCGCCUACGCGCCCUUUACGCCCAGUAACUCCGAUUAACGCUUGCACCCUCUGUAUUACCGCGGCUGCUGGCAC